rnacentral:rRNA from 1 species
UACAGAGGGUGCGAGCGUUGUCCGGAAUUACUGGGCGUAAAGGGCGCGUAGGCGGUACUUCAAGUCAGGCGUGAAAGCCCCGGGCUCAACCUGGGAACCGCGCUUGAGACUGGAGAACUAGAGUUCGGGAGAGGAUGGUGGAAUUCCCAGUGUAGAGGUGAAAUUCGUAGAUAUUCGCAAGAACACCAGUGGCGAAGGCGGCUCACUGGCCCGAUACUGACGCUGAGGCACGAAGCGUGGGGAGCAAACAGG